GUUUGUGAGCUUUGAUUUUUUGAAGUUAUGUGUCACAUUUGGUGUCAUACCAUGAUCAGGCAUUUUCCCUAAUUUUGUUCACAUGCUUCCUUGCAUCCAAAUGAUCCAAUUUUUUGCAUGAGACAUCUUCUACACGUCUAGUUUGUGUAUGAAUUUUCUUGGAAUUAAUCAUGCUGUUUUCCAUUUGAUUGUGAAUUUUCUCCC
rnacentral:lncRNA from 1 species